CAGAAAAUGCCAUAUUUUGUUUCACGAUUGUGUACAUUCCCUCCCAUUGCUUCCAGGCAAGACUUGUAAGGAGAGAAGACAUGGAUGUAGACCUUGUUUCCAUGAACAGUGGGAGUGCUUUGGCUCAGAACAGAGAAAAAAAUAAUCAGGCAUCCAGACACUCAGCAGAAUCUUCGUUUUUAUAGGUCUUACCUUCCAAGUAGUGGACAAUUCUCCCAAAUACAUUAAGGUAAUAGCUGUUCCAGGGAUAGGAAAUGCUAAGAAAAAAUGGGUAUCCCAUCGAAGCUAUCCAGUGCAAUUCAGCAAUGGAUGGGAAAGUGGGACAAGGAAGACGAAAACUUUCAACUAAUCUUUCAAACUUCAACAUGCAAAACAUAUGGCAAGCUGUUUCUUUUCAAGAGCAUUAUCUCUACCUGACCCUCUCUGCACCUACAGGAAGCUCCCCGA
rnacentral:lncRNA from 1 species